CCAGACUCCUACGGGAGGCAGCAGUGGGGAAUAUUGCACAAUGGGGGAAACCCUGAUGCAGUGACGCCGCGUGAAGGACGAAGUAUUUCGGUACGUAAACUUCUAUCAGCAGGGAAGAAAAUGACGGUACCUGACCAAGAAGCCCCGGCUAACUACGUGCCAGCAGCCGCGGUAAUACGUAGGGGGCAAGCGUUAUCCGGAUUUACUGGGUGUAAAGGGAGCGUAGACGGCCAUGCAAGUCUGAUGUGAAAACCCGGGGCUCAACCCCGGGACUGCAUUGGAAACUGUGCGGCUGGAGUGUCGGAGAGGCAAGUGGAAUUCCUAGUGUAGCGGUGAAAUGCGUAGAUAUUAGGAGGAACACCAGUGGCGAAGGCGGCUUGCUGGACGACGACUGACGUUGAGGCUCGAAAGCGUGGGGAGCAAACAGGAUUAGAUACCCCGGUACAC
rnacentral:rRNA from 1 species